CACGCACACAAAAGAGUAUUUCUCAUCGUAAUUUUCACUCGAUCGUCGGCAUACUUUUCAUUUCCAAUCAAAUAUUUACACAUUUUAUAAUAUUGCAGUAUUAACGCACAAUCGAAACCAUACGCGAUAGAGAGCCUCUUCGAAAGACUAGAACGCAAAAACUUUCCAGGUUUCAAAGUCUACAAAGAUAAAGAUGGAGAACAACGAGGUACCUGCCCCAUCCGGAUCAAAUGAUUUUCCCAUACUCCCGCCACCGCCCAACUCCAACACGAACUCCAACAAUCCCUACUCCUACUCCAACUCCAGCAACAAUAACCAGCAGAACAAUGCCGCCCAGAAGCGUCUGCAACAAACGCAAGCCAAGGUGGACGAAGUGGUUGGUAUAAUGCGUGUCAAUGUCGAGAAGGUGCUGGAACGGGACCAGAAACUGUCAGAGCUGGGCGAACGGGCCGAUCAAUUGGAGCAGGGCGCCUCACAGUUCGAACAGCAGGCGGGCAAGCUGAAACGCAAGCAAUGGUGGGCCAACAUGAAAAUGAUGAUUAUUCUGGGAGUGAUUGCCGUCGUAUUGCUCAUUAUCAUAAUAUUGUCGUUUUUCUAUUGAAACAAUUCGAACGCUAAAUAUGCUUGCCGUACUCAAAACAGCCCUAAUGAGUCGCAAUGCUUAAAUCUACAUAUCAUAUCGUCUUGUAUGAUAUCUUAUAGUCUAAGAAACGCCAAUAUUCUAAAGUUUCCUUUUUGCCAGCGGGCAGCACCAGCAGCAGUGACGGUUCCCGCGCUAUUACCGAGGCGCCGAAAGGAAACUAAAGUAAACUAAAUGGACCACCUUCUUUCUAAAUAAUGUUGCCUUCCGUAUUUGGCCUAUGCGCAGAAAAUGUUUCUACAAUUACUUUACAUACAACAAAGCAUAACAAGAAAUGUAUAAUUAUAAAAAGCCCUCUAAUGUUAAUCAAACUUUUUCACGUAUUGUAUAAAAUUAAAUCACACAUUCUAAUUGUUAUGAAACGGCA